rnacentral:rRNA from 1 species
GCAGUCGAGGGGUAUAGGUUUUCGGACCUAGAGACCGGCGCACGGGUGCGUAACGCGUAUGCAAUCUACCUUUUACAGAGGGAUAGCCCAGAGAAAUUUGGAUUAAUACCUCAUAGUAUUAUUGAAUGGCAUCAUUUAAUAAUUAAAGUCACAACGGUAAAAGAUGAGCAUGCGUCCCAUUAGCUUGUUGGUAAGGUAACGGCUUACCAAGGCAACGAUGGGUAGGGGUCCUGAGAGGGAGAUCCCCCACACUGGUACUGAGACACGGACCAGACUCCUACGGGAGGCAGCAGUGAGGAAUAUUGGUCAAUGGGCGCAAGCCUGAACCAGCCAUGCCGCGUGCAGGAUGACGGUCCUAUGGAUUGUAAACUGCUUUUGUACAGGAAGAAACGGUUCUACGUGUAGAACCUUGACGGUACUGUAAGAAUAAGGAUCGGCUAACUCCGUGCCAGCAGCCGCGGUAAUACGGAGGAUCCAAGCGUUAUCCGGAAUCAUUGGGUUUAAAGGGUCCGUAGGCGGUUUUGUAAGUCAGUGGUGAAAGCCCAUCGCUCAACGGUGGAACGGCCAUUGAUACUGCAAGACUUGAAUUAUUGGGAAGUAACUAGAAUAUGUAGUGUAGCGGUGAAAUGCUUAGAGAUUACAUGGAAUACCAAUUGCGAAGGCAGGUUACUACCAAUAUAUUGACGCUGAUGGACGAAAGCGUGGGGAGCGAACAGGAUUAGAUACCCUGGUAGUCCACGCCNGUAACGAUGGAUACUAGCUGUUCGGAGCAAUCUGAGUGGCUAAGCGAAAGUGAUAAGUAUCCCACCUGGGGAGUACG